UACAGAGGGUGCGAGCGUUGUUCGGAAUUAUUGGGCGUAAAGCGCUUGUAGGCGGCACGUCAAGUCGCGUGUGAAAUCCCCAGGCUUAACCUGGGAAGUGCGCGCGAAACUGACGAGCUUGAGUGCCGGAGAGGGUCGCGGAAUUCCCGGUGUAGAGGUGAAAUUCGUAGAUAUCGGGAGGAACACCAGUGGCGAAGGCGGCGACCUGGACGGACCACUGACGCAUG
rnacentral:rRNA from 1 species